UGGUGGAGUGAUUUGUCUGGUUAAUUCCGUUAACGAACGAGACCUCGACCUGCUAAAUAGUUGCGCGAGCCCUUCGGGGCUCUGCUGUAACUUCUUAGAGGGACUAUCGGUUCCUAGCCGAUGGAAGUUCGAGGCAAUAACA
rnacentral:rRNA from 1 species